GCGGAAACCUCUCCUGUCUCUUGGGAGGAACCCGGGAGCGCUACGCCACCUGUCAUCAGCCACGAUCCAGAACUCAACCAAGCGUCCUCGCUCGCGAGAGAAGUCAUACCUGCAAGGCCCUGGAGGAAGACGACCAAUGGCGUGCACACUUACGUGGGCCCACUGGGCGUGUGCCAGCGGCCCGACUGUAGCCAGCCCGGCCGUGUCAAGUGCAUCGACUGCGGCCUGGCAUCCUAUUGCAGCAGUCGCUGUCUGAAGGCGGACGCGGACAGGCACAGGCUUUCCUGCUACCGCCCGCCCUGGCGAACAUAACAGCGCCUGUGCACCGCUCCAAGGAUGCGCCUCCGGAAGGUCUCGAGGAGCCCCGUGUUUAUGGCUAGGAAGAGAAGCCAUAUCAUCGGAAAGAAAAAAAGAUGAAAAUGGUUUCCACGGGGACAACUGAAAGAGGCAGACGAAAUGACGAGGCCAAUGCAAGGAGACGCAACCAUGGCAGACAAGGGCGCCUCCUCGUCUUCCUCAAAAGGGCGGCGCAUGCUGGAGUAGUGCGAGACGGCGUACUGUGGCACACGUACUGCAUCCAACCCGCGAGCAAGGACGGGGUCGAUUGCACCCCCACUGCCAGACGCUGUAGCAAAGCUGGUCUGGGUUCGUGUCGAGAGCACACAUCAACUGAAUAUGUUGCCUGGAUUUGCCGUUGAAAUUCCGUGAUAACUACCUCGAAUUAUGGGCGACUUUCAGGACUUUUAGGAAAUUAUGGUUCAUUAAAGGGUCCCUCACCAGGCCCCAUAGCAAACUUUGGUUAUGCGCUGGAAGUUUUUACGUGUCCUCUAGGGAGCGUUCUGCCGCAAAAAAUUUUCAAAUCGGCUCAUUAAUAGCCGACAUAGAAAUACUUCAGUAUCGCAAACAUAUGAUCUCAGCAGGCGGGCUCCACUGCCAAGCAAGACGCCCUCUCCACUCGCCCCGUCUAGCCUCCACAAGCGAAAUUCCUUCCCUGCGUUCUCCCAUACCGGACCUCGAGGAUC